rnacentral:tRNA from 1 species
GCCGGAGUGGCGGAACUGGCAGACGCCCAGGACUUAAAAUCCUGUGGUCUUAAUUGACCGUACCGGUUCGAUCCCGGUCUCCGGCA